rnacentral:rRNA from 1 species
AUUGAACGCUGGCGGCAUGCUUUACACAUGCAAGUCGAACGGCAGCACGGGGGCAACCCUGGUGGCGAGUGGCGAACGGGUGAGUAAUGCAUCGGAACGUAUCCUUAAGUGGGGGAUAACGCAUCGAAAGAUGCGCUAAUACCGCAUAAUCUCUGAGGAGAAAAGCAGGGGAUCGCAAGACCUUGCGCUUUUGGAGCGGCCGAUGUCUGAUUAGCUAGUUGGUGAGGUAAAGGCUUACCAAGGCUUCGAUCAGUAGCUGGUCUGAGAGGACGACCAGCCACACUGGGACUGAGACACGGCCCAGACUCCUACGGGAGGCAGCAGUGGGGAAUUUUGGACAAGUGGGGACAACCCUGAUCCAGCCAUGCCGCG